rnacentral:tRNA from 1 species
ACCGCAUUAGUCCAGAGGUUAGGAUGUCUGAUUUUCACUCUCGCCGUGGAAACGCUCAGAAGACCGGGGUUCGAACCCCCGAUGCGGUA